UAAUCUUAAAGGUGUACACACCAUGAUGUCAUCCCCGGAGGGGCCGGGAGGGAGAGAAACAGGGCCCGAGGCGGCCAGUCCCAGCGGGUCAGGACGUUGGUCCCCAGAAUUCCUUCAGACCUGGGCUCCGAUCUCUGCGACGCUGGCCGUUUGCUGUGGGACCGCCGUGGCUAUGUCGCUCCCCUCGGUGGGUGCUGUGCACCCGACACGUGAUGCCAGCCCGGCAGCUAGAGCAAGCUCACACCACCCGUGUUGAAUGAUCGCACUGUCCCUGUUUCCGACUUCCACGGGGAAAUAAACAGCUACAGAUACAGGCAUCUUUCUUUCUUGGCUUUGUCCCUAAGAAAACUAUUCUUCAGUCAAACGAGACUUUUCUGGAGGGCCUCAAUGUGGCAAACCCCUGCGUGGGGAAGGGGUUUAACACCCUGGCUCACAGGCCGACUGAAGAGGAGUGGCUUGAGCAGGGAGAAGUGAGUGGAUUGUUUUCACUGGCGGCUCCCUCAGGCUGCCUGUAUUUUUCCACUGCGUGGAUCACACUGGAGAUUAAUUUGGGUUCGGCCAGCGCCCGCCAAGCAGAAAGUGAAGGCUCGAGCCCACAGGGAACUCAGCCGUGGCAUCUACACCGACCCGACGUCGCUGGUACAUUUCCACGACGGGAGACACUUGCGUAGAGCACUUCUAGGCUUUGAUAAAACACUGGGUACGGUUUGUUUUGAAAGGCAGGAACAUACUUGUAAUUGGAAACCCCGCUGAGGAAACCGUAAGUUCUUAGAACACGGGGAUCUUUCAGGCCCCGGAGUCAGAUGGCAGCCUGCGGACCAGGGGGAAAGGUCAAGGACACUGACUCUUCCAAGACCUUGAAUGUCGUUGUUGGGCUGGGCCAGGACCGUGGCACAGCCUGCCCCAGAAGUGGGCUGGGAUGUUUGCUUUUCUGCUUCCUGCAGCAUUUCAUCCAGAAACAAGGGGCAGGGAGGGGACAGGCGCUGAGAGGCCGCGAGCUCGGCUGUGACUUCAUCCAGCGUUAGACUAUAGACAGGACUGGGCUUGGGAGUUAUUACACUUUGUCUUAGCCUGCUUGGCAAGAGUACAGAUUCAGAAUAUUGCUCUAGAGCAAGCCAGAUUAAACUGCCCGUCUUCAACAAAAUUAUGAAACCAGAGUAGCAAGUGGCCUGAAGGUGACAGCCACCAGAAACGCUGUGUCUGUAUGCAAAGGUGGCGACAGGGACUUCCUUCAAAACAGUAAUGAUGGUCAGGCCCGGGUGGGGGCACUGCAGGUGUUUUCUCUACAUCGCAUUUGCUUACAGCGCUUCGAUUUUGAAGUCAGGUAAUGCACUGUUUUUACAAAAUAGAGGUCUUGACACAGGAAAGAGCACGUGACAGGCAAGUGUAAAGUGCAAAGCUCAUGGAACUAGGAAACAAACAGCCCGGGCAUCCAAGUCCCUUACUCGGGCCACUGGGAGGCUCUAUCUUCAUGUACAAAAAGCCUCUGGGGGAAGGGAGUACAAGCUGCCUUGCGCACAGUAGGCACACACGUCGAGCCCUCUAGAAAACGUCCAUAACUCUCACACAUCUCCACGAGGACAUGGGAACUUUCUAUUAUCCCGAGGAAGGUAUUAAGGGAGAAACGUGAUCGAGACAAUGGCCACUUCUUCCUGCUUUGGCCCUGGGACGCCUGUGUUCCCUGGGUGCCACGGCAGGUGGUGGGCACUCUCACCCAGAACCGGGUUCGGCUACCGCACCUGACUUCUCGUGACCUCACUCAUCUCCUUCCUUGUGGCCCAGUCAUCUUGGGGGAAGGAAAGGCCACCAAGUGGUUUGGGAUCCGAGCUCAGGACACACUUUCUGAGAUUCGCUCCUAUUUUCUUCCCUACUUCCUGACUGGCAAAGGGAUUGGAGAGGGUGGUCAAGGAAAUAAAGCACCGAGGUGUCAGUAGAAAUGCCAUAAUUUAUUCUGUUGUAUAAAAAAGUCAUCCUCAUGUAACAAAAUGUCUUCUUAGAAGAAGAAAUAUAUUAUUUCAGGUCAUAAAUAAUCAGCAAACAUACAACUGUUGGCAACUAAAAAAAAAAAAAAAA